GAUGAACGCUGACAGAAUGCUUAACACAUGCAAGUCGACUUGAACUUCGGUUUGGGUGGCGGACGGGUGAGUAACGCGUAAAGAACUUGCCUCACAGAUAGGGACAACAUUUGGAAACGAAUGCUAAUACCUGAUAUUAUGAUUAUAUGGCAUCGUAUAAUUAUGAAAGCUAUCUGCGCUGUGAGAGAGCUUUGCGUCCCAUUAUCUAGUUGGAGAGGUAACGGCUCACCAAGGCGAUGAUGGGUAGCCGGCCUGGGAGGGUGAUCGGCCACAAAGGGACAGGGACACGGGCAUUACUCAUACGGGAGGCAGCAGUGGGGAAUAGUGGACGAAGGACCAAGAGUGUGAUGCAGCAAUUCUGUGUGUACGAUGAAGUUUUUCGGAAUGUAAAGUGCUGUAAGUUAGGAAGAAAAAAAUGACGGUACCUACAGAAGAAGUGACGGCUAAAUACGUG
rnacentral:rRNA from 1 species